rnacentral:lncRNA from 1 species
CUGUCACAACAGCCUCCAAAGGACAGAGAGUGAACCACAGAGGAAAUUCGAAUGCAUGUACAGUGGGUUCCAUUACCAGGGAGCCUGAGCUUGGGACAAGAGGAGCUCAUCACCACCAGAAAAUACUACCAACAUGCCCAAGAGUUUGUUUCCCAUACUUUUAAAGAAAAAGAAAAAUGGAUGGUUCUGAAAUCACCUGGGUUUGUUUUAUUACAUUAUAUCUUCUGGCAAGAUCAGUGAUGGCAGAUGUGAUUCAGCAAUAGAAGCAUGGCUGUACUGCUGGAUAUUGUUCUAGUUUUAUUUAAAUGCCACAUCUUCAACACAGUAUAGUAAAGAUGUGCUAAUUAAACUCAAUCUAUUUUACAUCAAUUAAUUCAGACUGUGAUCUCUCAUCAGAUUGCAUAUGUUAAGUAGGACUUAGGGCUGGUCAACAGAUGUAAACUAUUCAGAAAUGUGGUGAGAAACCAACUC